rnacentral:lncRNA from 1 species
AAAUUGAUCUUCAGGAAUGACGGGGGUGGGGGCUCCUACGAGAGGAAGACUCUCCUAUGUGCUCUAGGAGAAGGAAGGGAGUUCCAAGUGUCUCGAGUCCUGAAGAUCAAAUCAGAAGGCACAGCAUCCACGAUCUCCAUAGCCUAGGUCAUAGCCCUCUCAAAAAUCCUCCUUGCCGGCAUUUUGAGAGGCUAGAUAUGAAAAGCAAUAUAUGCUGCUCUAGUGGCAACAAGUCUGGUGGCCUCAAACUUCGUGCUCCACCUCAAGUCCUCUAAACAAAUCUGGGUAGGCUGCUCUACAAAAGUAUCCAGAAUGGGGAGGGGGGGUAGCCAGCUGCCACACUCACCGCGCUCUGGGGCACUGAAAAAGUGUAUGCUCCAAGG